rnacentral:pre_miRNA from 1 species
AGUGGGAUAGCUGGGUCAAAUAGUGGUUUCAUUCCAAGUUUUCUAGGGAAUCACCAUACUGCUUUCCAGGUUGGUUGCACCAAUUUGCAGUUCCAUCAGCAAU